rnacentral:rRNA from 1 species
GAUGAACGCUGGCGGCGUGCUUAACACAUGCAAGUCGAACGGAAAGGCUCCUGCUUGCAGGGGUACUCGAGUGGCGAACGGGUGAGUAACACGUGGGUGAUCUGCCCUGCACUUCGGGAUAAGCCUGGGAAACUGGGUCUAAUACCGGAUAGGACGAUGGUUUGGAUGCCAUUGUGGAAAGUUUUUCGGUGUGGGAUGAGCUCGCGGCCUAUCAGCUUGUUGGUGGGGUAAUGGCCUACCAAGGCGUCGACGGGUAGCCGGCCUGAGAGGGUGUGCGGCCACAUUGGGACUGAGAUACGGCCCAGACUCCAACGGGAGGCAGCGGUGGGGUAUAUUGUACAAUGGGCGCAAGGCUGAUGCAGCGACGCAGCGUGGGGGAUGACGGCCUUCGGGUUGUAAACUCCUUUCGCUAUGGACGAAGCGAAAGUGACGGUACCUGGAGAAGAAGCACCGGCUAACUACGUG